GGGGGGGGGGGGGGGGCUGGGAGGAGUUCACCGUCCGAUUGGGGUCUGGAAUGUGGGGCCUCCCUGCUGCUGCGGAGUCGGGGCAGUCUGCUUCUCUCCACCCCAGGAAGAGGGUAACACUGACUGGGUCUCGGUGCAGUUUCCCCCUCUGGGGGCAAGGGUACCUAGACCUGGGGUAUACGCUCAUGCUCACAGGUGUACACACGGGUGCUCACAGACACAAACUACUCCCUUUUUGGCUCCUACCUCAGAGCACACUGUGCGCUGUCGGUCUUACAUGCUGCACAAUAAUAUUCAGUAUUUAGUAUUUACUGUUAUAUUCACAUAGAUUAUUGUGAUGAUGUUGUUUAUUAUACUGCUCUCUUUUUUGCUUGUUUUCUCUUUUUUCUUUCUCAACAGGUGAUCCAGGUGAUUGAUAUAUGUAUUUUUUGUCUGUUUGUUUUGUUGGUUUUUGUUUUUUGCCCUUUAUCCCCAUCCCUCUUCUCCGCUGUUUUUCUUUCCCUCUUUCUUUCUCCCUUUUCUUUCCCCCAGGCAUGUCUGUCCCGCGUGUAGCAAGUGAAAAUAAAAUAAAAUAAACAAUAAAAGCAAAGGUGAAUCAAAUAGACCAAUACAGCAAAGCUGGGGUGGUCCAUUUGGUAAAGUAAAUCUGCUGGGCAGCUUUCUUUGCCUUUAGACAACAAUUCUGAUAGCAAACCAAACGGGACAUGCGGGAAAGAAAAAAAAAAAAAAGCAGAGAGCUCCUUAAAUCACAGUGAAUGGCUAAUUUGCAUCGAUUUUUCUCCAAGGACCAAAGGAAUCACAGAAAUGCUAAAUGGGAUGGCUAAUCUGAUCCCAAAGCUAAUACAUUAACUAAUUUACAAGUUAAUCCUGUAGCUAACAGGAAAUAGAAGUGCAGUCAGGAAAUGAAUUUGAACAUGACAUUUCCUCCUGCUCAUGGCCACUAAAUCAGACCCAUGUCAUGUCUACAGUGACAAAUGAGCAGUUAAACUAUGCAUUUCCCUACAUUGUAAGAACAUGCUAUGUGGUGGUCGACCAGCAAAUAGUAAAGUGUAAUGAAAAGCUGUGAAGGAGAGUUAAUGGAGCUUGAUAUUGGCUCUUUAAAGUUUAGUUCCCUGUAGCACUGCAGUGUCUAGAUCACUACUGAAUGCUGGCAGAUUGUAAAGGUGAUGUGAGACCACUCCAAUGUCUCCACCAUGAUGGUGAUGGAUGGCUGAGUACUGCUAUCAUUCAGUACAAAUCUGCACCAGUAUAAAUGUUUUACUACUCUUAUGGUAACAGUUACAAUGUAAUAUAGCUCCAAUCCAAGAAAUAAACACUAUAAAGGGAAAAUAACUGUCUGAUCACAUUCAUUGGAGUAUUUAUGUACUAAUAACGGGGGAAGCAAAAAAAAAAGAAAAAAAUUACAAAAAAAAUUUUGAAAAUCUGUUUUUUAGGCACUGAAAUAAUAUUCACAUGAUAGCCCUUUGAUUUCACUACAUCUCUUGUAUCUUCUUUAAACCUUUAAAGGUUUAUUAAAGGAUUCAUAAAUUUCAGUUUCCUUUCAGCACUCAAAAUACUCCAUAGUUACAAAGUAGGUUCGGGGGUGUCCAGAAUCAAUAAAAACCAAAGUAGAAAUAUGGUAAAAUGGUGAUGGGGAGAUGGUUCUGAUGCACUUGCGCCAAAGAAGG
ensembl:lncRNA